UACGUAGGGGGCGAGCGUUGUCCGGAAUCAUUGGGCGUAAAGGGCGCGUAGGCGGAUAGUUAAGUCCGAUGUGAAAUACCAAGGCUCAACCUUGGGGCUGCAUCGGAAACUGGUUAUCUUGAGGACAGGAGAGGAAAGUGGAAUUCCUAGUGUAGCGGUGAAAUGCGUAGAUAUUAGGAGGAACACCAGUGGCGAAGGCGACUUUCUGGACUGUAACUGACGCUGAGGCGCGAAAGCGUGGGGAGCAAACAGG
rnacentral:rRNA from 1 species